UCCUACGGGGCGCAGCAGUGAGGAAUAUUGGUCAAUGGCCGGAAGGCUGAACCAGCCAAGCCGCGUGAAGGACGAAGGUGCCAAGCAUUGUAAACUUCUUUUGUCAAGGGACAAAAUCAGGCUCGAGAGCCUGACCGAGGGUACUUGAAGAAAAAGCAUCGGCUAACUCCGUGCCAGCAGCCGCGGUAAUACGGAGGAUGCGAGCGUUAUCCGGAUUUAUUGGGUUUAAAGGGUGCGUAGGCGGACUGUUAAGUCAGCGGUAAAAGCCCGGGGCUCAACCCCAGCGAGCCGUUGAAACUGGCUGU
rnacentral:rRNA from 1 species